ACGGAAGGCAGCAGUGAGGAAUAUUGGUCAAUGGACGAGAGUCUGAACCAGCCAAGUAGCGUGCAGGAUGACGGCCCUAUGGGUUGUAAACUGCUUUUGUACGGGAAUAAAGUGACCUACGUGUAGGUUUUUGCAUGUACCGUAAGAAUAAGGACCGGCUAAUUCCGUGCCAGCAGCCGCGGUAAUACGGAAGGUCCGGGCGUUAUCCGGAUUUAUUGGGUUUAAAGGGAGCGUAGGCGGCCUUUUAAGCGUGUUGUGAAAUGUCCCGGCUCAACCGUGGCACUGCAGCGCGAACUGGAGGGCUUGAGUGCGCCGGAAGUAGGCGGAAUUCGUUGUGUAGCGGUGAAAUGCUUAGAUAUGACGAAGAACUCCGAUUGCGAAGGCAGCUUACUGUCGCGUAACUGACGCUGAAGCUCGAAAGUGCGGGUAUCGAACAGGAUUAGAUACCCUGGUA
rnacentral:rRNA from 1 species